AAAAAGAGGAAGAAGAAAAGAAAAGAUGCGUGAUUCACUUUGAAAAUGCAACUGCUUAAAUUCUUCUCUACUGGCUUUUCUGAAGGAAGCUACUGCGUAGUACAAUGUUUGUUAUAUAUGAUGAACAAUUGGUGCGAAGUUUAUCUACUGUUCCAUAGGAAACUGCAUAUGUAUGGAUCAGGAACUUGUUAGAGGCGUCAGCAUGAGGAAGAAUUGAAAUUAUUGGAAGAGGAAA